UAGGGAGCAAGAUGGGUGUCUUCCUUGAAUGCCAAGAGGUUGUUCAAGGCGAUCCUUUACAUCCUAAAGUAGUAACUCUGGUCAGGAGGCUGAAGGAUCAGCUUAAAAUUCGCCUACGUAAGCCAAUUGAUAAUUCUCCUGAACUGAUGCUAGCUUGCCUGUGUUAUCCAAGGAUUAAGGGAAAGCUUGCACUCACCUCCAAUAGCUUAACAAAUUGGAGGGAGAAACUGAUCCAGAGGGUGUGUGACUGGUAGCAAAAAAGGGGAAUGCUGUCUGAGGGAGUAGUUCAGCAGGAGGCUGAGAUGUCGGCUACUUCUAGCAGAAGCAUUGGCAGUGGCACUACCACCACAAAACUGAGUGAAGCAGCUGCACUUUAGGAAGAGUUGCUUGAGGAUAUAGUUGGACCCACUGAGAGUGCUAGCAGCAGACAGGAGAGUACUGCCUCAGAAAUAGUCAAAGCGUACCUCUCUGAACCUCCUUUGCCCCAUAAUGUCGACCCUCUUAGCUAUUGGGAUGAGAAGAGUGUGUGGCCUGCACUCUCAUUGGUUGCACAGAAGCUGCAAUCAUGUCCACCAACCACCAUCCCAAGUGAGCGUGUGUAUUCGGUAACCGGUAGUAUAUUGAAUCCACAGCGCUCACAAAUGUCACCUCAUCUCAUGGAGCAGAUUGCCUUUCUUAAAUUCAAUCUGCCCCGUUGUACUGCAAAUCCUUUUCACUUAGAAAUCUAUUAAGUGGUAGAGCAGCUGGUACUUAGUGGAUCCAUAUAGUCCACGAGCACAUUACUGCCAUGGGUAUAGAAUUUACUUACCAUAGAUGUAAACUGUGACAGACCAUAUAAUCGAUCACCAAGUUACUGGAUCGGUGCUCUGUCACUAAAACUUAGAAUAUUAUCUACCAUCUAUUACUGACAGAAGCAGUUUUACAUAUUGGGCUACAUUUAUCAGAUAGAUUGAUACUGACACUUUGUUUUUACUUACCUAAUUUUAGAUCCACGGUUUUGGUGUUUACACUUUAG